AAGUUUUUGAGAAAAGGGUGUUUGAAGAGAUAGAUACUCACUGGAAGCCUCAUGCACUGCUGACUUUAUCUGAUAAGCUGACUUUAUUCAAACCCCAGAUUUGCAAGGUUUAUAGCAAAUUAAGGAUAACAAAUCAGCUGAGACACAUGGGCAGGUCAUGAGUGCAUCUCCCGGAUGGAAGCACUGUUGACAUCAGACCCAAACUUCUGGGGCCUUUCAACUAGGACAGGAGAUCAGCCGUUCCCAGGAAUUCUCCAGGUUUUUUGUGCUGUAUUGGGACUUCUGAGGCAUCCAGCCUUGUGGACUGAUCAGCUGCUUGGCUCUUAUCUUCUCCAGCAUACAGACAGCCAUUGCUGGACUUCUAGGCCCUGUGGUGUAAGCCAAUCUGAUAAACCUGCUUUUGUAAUAUAUAUUAAUUAUAGUGUUGAUUCUGUCUCACCAGAGAACCUAAUACAAUUAAAAUUUCA
rnacentral:lncRNA from 1 species